CCAAACAAGAAAGAACAUCCUUCUCAAAGGAAGCUGAACUAAAUUCUCUCGGCACUCAAGGAAAGAAUCAUCUCUACAUCAGCAAAAUGAUAUUAUCUCCAUGAUUCUGGUAAAUUAGAUCAAGCCCUAAUGGAACACAGAUUCCGUGCAAUCCAUUAUUGAUGAGGCAAAGCAAAUUACUAAAGACCAAUUAAUUCUAGAGGAUCAAUUACUGAAGACCAAUUAAUGACGAUAGCAAUCAAGAUCAGAAGGUCCAAAAAUCAAGGAAGAAUUCUAUCAAUUCGCCAUUUGCCAAAGGAGAAAGAUCUGAUGUGGAGCAACG
rnacentral:lncRNA from 1 species